CGGGUGUCAGGAUGGCCGAGUGGUCUAAGGCGCCAGACUCAAGGAACACGACCACAACGAGAUUCUGCCUGACGCCGCUGUUCUCCGCCCUGCGUUUGUCUACCUGCGACAGAUGGAGAAACUGAGGCCCAGUCUUCAUGUUCACCUGCAAGUGUGGGGCCCAGCCUGGCUUCUCUGAUCUGCCUU